rnacentral:tRNA from 1 species
UGGUGUAGCUCAGCUGGUAGAGCAAAUCAUUCGUAAUGAUUAGGCCGCAGGUUCAAGUCCCGUCACC